UCGGAGCCCCGACCCCGGAGCCGGCCGGUGAGCUUUGCGCCUGGCCCGGUCUCACCCUGCGCAUGUGCUCGGCGUCCUGGGCUGCUGCGGAGGCGGAGGUUUACAGAGGUGGCAGCCCUCAUGGCAGGUCCCCUGUGGCGGGCCACAGCCUUUGUGCAGAGACACAGGACGGCCCUGUUGGUGGGUUCCUGUGCAGGCCUGUUUGGGGCUCAGAUCUCGUACCACCUCUUCCCGGAUCCUGUGGUCCCGUGGCUGUACCAGUACUGGCCUCAGGGCCAGCCAGCCUCCCUGUCCCCAGAGCUGCAGAGCCUGUUCGAGGAGGUGCAGCAGGAUAUCGGGGUCCCCUCGGGCCACCGCUUCAAGGCCUUCACCACCUUCACCUUCCAGCCUGUGAGCGCCGGCUUCCCGAGACUCCCUGCCGGGGCCGUGGUGGGCAUCCCCGCCAGCUUCCUGGGUGACCCAGUGACCAACACUGACCGGCCCGUGGUCGUCCACGGGCAGCGAGUGGACUGGCAGAGCCCAGUGGGUGCCCGGCUGAGAGAUGCCCUGACUCUGUCCCACGACGCCCAGAAGUUCGCCUUGGCCAGGGAGGUGGUGCACCUGGAGAGCGGGGCGGCCGCCCUGCAGGCCCUGCCAGCCCCCGCCUGCCUGGUGGGCACCUGGGCUCUGGGCGUGGGAGCCAAGCACGCCCUGGGGCUCUACGGAGGCCCCAUGAACUUGCGAGCCGCCUUCAACUUGGUGGCGGCAGUGGCGGGCUUCGUGGCCUAUGCCUUGUCCACGGACUCUCUCACUCACUCCCUGGAAGCCUGGCUGGACCGCCGCACGGCCUCGCUGUCCGCAGCCUAUGCCCGGGGCGGGGUGGAGUUCUACGAGAAGGUUCUGUCGGGCAACCUGGCCCUGCGCGGCCUCCUGGGCCGGCCCGGAGAGAAGCUGUACACGCCCAGCGGGAACGUGGUUCCCAGACACUGGUUCCGCAUCAAGCACCUGCCCUACACGGCCCGCCGGGACUCGGUGCUGCAGGUGUGGAGGGCGGCGCUCAGCCCCCGCAGCCCCUGAGGGCCUCAUGGCAGGGGCGGUUCCAGCUGGAGCAGACACGUGCUUUGAUGAAGCGUCUUGCUGCGCUGGACAGGCCCACGUGGCUCGGAAGUAAGGGCGGCCUCUGAGCCACAGCUGGCGGAGCGGUGAGGCCCUCAGUCCAGCAGCCCACAGGGAGCUGAAUCCUGACAACAGCCGUGUGAGCUUGGAAGAAAAUCCCUCCCCAGUCAGGUCUCAGAUGAGACCCCAGCCUUGGCCGGUGCCUUCACUGCAGCCCGUGACACCCCGAAGCAGAGGACACAGCUAAGCUAUGCCUGGAUCCUCAACCCACAGAAAUGCUGAGAUGGUCGUCGUGGGUUAUGUUAAGCCUUCGUUUUAUGUCAAGAUACAUGUUCAACCACAAAUCACAGAAAGCCCAACAGUGACUUCAAUAAGUAAGGAUGGAUGUUAAUCACCUAACAAGAAGCCCAGGACCAGGCAGUCCAGGGCUGGUGCAGCUGCUCAGAGAUGUCAUCCUUGUCCCAGACUCCUUGCUCCAGCGUCUAACUUAGUCUUCAAGGUCACAAGACUGCUACCACAGCACCAGCCGUUGCAGCCAUAUUUCAAACAGGAAGAAGCAGGAAAGGCAAAGAGACUGGCCUUUUUGUCCUAGAAGGAUCACCCUUCCUCAGGACUUCCGCCUACAUCACAUAGGCCAGAACUCGGUCACAUAGACACUAGUAACUCCGAGAGAACUGGGGGAAGUGGAUUUUGUAGCUGGGCACCUCGUCAUCAGGAAGAAAAUCAAGCAGGAAGAUGCGAAAUGGAUUGGGGGUUGGUCACCUGCGGGACCACUGCGGGGCUUUGGGCCCAAUCUCACAGCCUCCCAAAGCUCAGAAAAUACAUCUACAGUUUCCUGCAGUGACAGCGGCUGAGUCUUUCUGGGUCCUCGUCGACAGGCUGUGAUGACACAGGGGUGUUCUUGCUUUAUUUGCCAGGAAGGCAUAAUCUGAGCAAAAGCAGGUGUCUUAAAAUGGAACUCAUGGUCUUGUGGCCCAGGAGCCCUGCCGUCCAGAGCUCACUAGGGCAGGAGAGGUCUUGCGCCAGCAAUGCUUAGGGGAGAGGUCUCUUUUCCUUUUCUUCUGAAAAACAUGCACAAAUGUAAGGGAAUUCUGUGCAGGCCCUGGCCCUGUCUGCCCUGAGAGCCAGCCCACUUGCUCACCCCUGCGCCGCCCUGGGUCCCGGCGGCGGUGACCCCUGCUGGCUUUGUUGUGAUUGCAGCCUGAGCCUGGCUGAGGGACCCUGGCAGCAGAGUCGGGGUUGGGAGGAAGGGAAAAGCAGGGGCUUUCCUCUCCCUUUUGACCUCGGGCCCUGUCCCCACCGCAACUGUAGCUCCACCGUGGCCCCAGUGUCCCCAGAAGGCCUGCUGAGGUUUCCACUUUGCUCAGCGACCCCAACCCCCGAGCCCAGUGACACCACCGUUUUGUGUUGCUCUCUGGCCCGGGGCCGGCAGCUGCUGGCAUUGAUCUCGGUUCUCUGUUGGCUUCCUAACCCUAACCCGAACUCUCCCAUCCCCUCGGUGUGACCAGUACUUCGCCUAAGUCCCACUGCCUUAAAUAUUCAAGUGGGUUUUGCCCGCUGGCUAGAUCCCAACUCAGGGAAACAGUACAAUAAACACCCAUCCCUUUGGUUUGACAAUGAUUGCCACUCCACGAUACUUGUUUCAUCUUUUUUUGUUUCCGUGGGAAAAAAAUCCGAGCCCUCCUGGUGUUGCUUAAAUGAGUUCAGUAUGUAUCUCUCAAGAAUAAGGACAUUUUCUUACAUAACACGUAUAUUCAAACUGCUCCCCCCUGUGUUCACACAUUAACACACCUAACAAAAGGAGCAAACGUUCCCUGUGCUCGCGCACUCCCCAAUACACAGUCAAAUUCUCCCAGCUGCUCUGAAGGUGACUAUUUUACAGUUGGUUUGUUUGAACUAGGGUUUAAACAAGACCCACACAUUGCGUUGGGUCGAUGUGUUUCCCGGGUGUCUUUUAAUCUGAAAUGUCACAAGAUGUCACACACGCUCACAGUAGGGGGCACAGCCAUACUGAGCCCCCGACUCAACCUGUGUGUGCCCGCACCCCCCGCAGAGCCCCUUACACAAACUGCUUCCUCUCCCGGGACAUCUCUGGAUGCCACAGCUGCGUACUGAACUCUGCUCCCUGCCGCAGGCAGUAAGGGGUACGUUGUCUGUAAAGAACUUAAAAACAAAUAAUAAAACCAUUUGCUAUAGGCUGAAAUGUGUCCCUCCCCCAAGAUUCAUAAGUUGAAGCCUUAAUCUCCAGUACGAUGGUGUUUGGAAGUGGAGCCUUUGGGUAACGAGGUCACGAGGAUGGGGUCCGCAUGAUGGGAUUAGUGCCCUUAUAAGAAGAGAGGACAGAGAGCUUGUUUCCCUCUCUCUGUCUCUGUCUCUCCCUUCCCCCUGCCAUGUGAGGACACAGUGAAAAGGCCAGAAGAAGGAGCUGAAUCUGCUGGCACCCUGACCUUGGACUUCCAGCUUCCAGGACUGUGAGAAGUAAAUGUCUGUUGCUUAAGCCCCCCAGUCUGUGGUAUUUUGUUACAGCAGCCUGAGCUAAGACACCACUAAAAGUCAGUCAGCUUUUUGGUACCAGCAUGUACCAGCAGUUCUAAAGAACAUCAGUGAUAAAAUACUCCUUCCUGCAGCCUACAGGGCUCCCAUCACCCCCUCUUGUUAUGUCAUUGGUCAAUGUGACUCUUGUUAAGACUAUGCCAGGGGCUUCCCUGGUGGCGCCGUGGUUAAGAAUCCGCCUGCCAGCGCAGAGGACAUGGGUUCAAGCCCUGGUCCGGGAAGAUCCCACAUGCCACGGAGCAACUAAGCCCGUGCGCUACAGCUACUCAGCCUGCUCUCUAGAGCCCACAAGCCACAACUACUGAUCCCAUGUGCCACAACUACUGAGCCCAUAUGCCACAAGUACUGAAGCCUGUGUGCCCAGAGCCCAUGCUCUGCAGCAAGAGAAGCUACCGCAAUGAGAAGCCCACAUACCGCUAUAAAGACCCAAUGCAGCCUAAAAUAAAUAAAUUGAAUUUUUAA